rfam:Populus trichocarpa scaffold_16_contig_67, whole genome shotgun sequence.
UAGCUCUAGAAUUACUACGGUUUUUCAUUGUCACUACCUCCUUGUGUCAGGAUUGGGUAAUUUGCGCGCUUGUUGCCUUCCUUGGAUGGUAGGAUAAAGGCCUAUCAUGGUGGUGGUGGUGGGUGUCAGAGAAUUAGGGUUUAAUUCCGGAGAGGGAGCCUGAGAAACGACUACCACAUCCAUUAGAGGGCAAGUCUAGUGCCAGCAGUCAUGGUAAUUCCAACUCCAAUAACGUAUAUUUAAGUAGUUGUAGUUAAAAAGCUCGUGGUUGGAUUUUAGGCUGUGUUGGUCGGUCCGCCUUAGGUGUGCACCGGUUGCCUCAUCCUUUCUAUCGACGAUGCACUCCUGACCUUAACUGGUCGGGUCGUGCAUCCUUUGAAGAAAUUAGAGUGCUUAAAGCAAGUCUACGUUCUGAUGCCAUGUCAAAGAACUAAUUCAACUCAAUAACUUAAGCUUUUAGGUUGAGAUGGUUUUGUAAUAUGGUAUUGGAGCCUUAUUGAUCAAGCGGUCACGAGUUUGAAACUCAUCAUCCCCAUUCAAUUUGAUAAAAA